UGGCCACAGUAUCUUCUUGGCCUGAUAGUAACUUUUAGGCAACGUGUUUUCCUCUAGAAGCAGAUUGUGCAAUACUUGAAGCAGUGAACUAAAGCUUUUGUCACUCCACCCAUAUAUGGCCUUGACAUUAACUAGACUUAACACCACCAACAAAAGCGUCAAGGAAUUCUUGCACCCUGUAUACAAAGGCUUCUUUGAAUCACUUUGCAAUCCUUCAUACAUAGGGGCAUGUGCUUGUUGAAAGAAUCUUGUCCAAGGUCACGAAUCAUAUCCUCCAAGUGAUCUCCCAUUUCUACAUCAAAUGGUUCAGAUUAAGACCCACUCUGCAUGUCUGUCAAUUCACCAUGUCAUAUCCACGUCAUGUAAUUCUUCUUUAUCCCAUCACAUAACAGAUGGUCCUGUAUGUCGUCGACUUUUUGCCGUCUCCCGUUCAAACAAUUUAUGCACGGACAAAAAAACUUCCCAUUUUCAUCCGAUCGGCUUCUUUCUGAAGCAAAUUAUAGGAACUAUUCCACGCCUUCCUCAUACGCAGGGCUCAAGUAGCUUUCAUUCAUCCAACUUCGAUCCAUCUAAAAAAUAACUCCUUCAUACUCCGAAACUCAUUCAAUGCACGAUAUCUCACUUUUUCAUUUAAGGUGUGGCCCUAUCCCAUUCAGGAAGACACAUUUUUAUGAUACAUUCAUGCGUCAAGGUUAAUCUUAUUUUGUUAAAUUUGAUGAAAUUUCGGCAGCAUUUCACAUUGGUCUCCAAGUAUACGACAUGAAAUCGGUGACAUUAAUUCGUCGAUAAUCAAGUAUGCACUCAAAGAACAACUAGAAAUGCAUUGUACCAUAAUUUCAUCAAAUUAAACAAAAUAAUGUUAACCUUAACACAUGAAUGUACCAUAAAAAUGUGAGUCUCCCCAAACUGUCCAAACAGACAAUUCAAGAUUCAAAACAAUGAUUAAUGCAAACUUUCUGCAAGAAUCAUUGUAUUCAAUCUCAAACGGGAAUCUAAGGUUCACUUAUUAUGAACAAAAGUUGAAUCUAAUGCAAAGCACAUUAAUGACAUACAAAUUAAAUAUAGUGAGAUAUAACACAACACAACACAUCGGGAAGAACCCUAACCAAACAAGCAAAGCAAUGGCUGCGGAGUUAGGACAACAGACGGUGGCUCUAUCCCACCCUCGUCCAUACGUGUCGCCAAAUGAUAAGUCCCUCUAAUUUGUUCGCCCCGCCCCCCCCUCUCAAACGGACUUAUAGUUCUUUUUUUUUUCCAACGAGGGUGGAUACCCCCCCCCCAUCCGUUGUCCUAACUCGGCAACCAUUGCUUGCUUGUUUGGUUAGGGUUCUUCCCGAUGUGUUGUGUUGUCAAUUAUAUCUCAAAAGACUAGUCUGUGACAAUAAUAAUAUACAUACUAGUCUGUAUGUACGUACCUGGAGUUUCUAUAAUCAAAGAGCUUCCAUAGCAACACGAAUUACCAGUAUAAUGCUAUAAAAUCUGCAAUAAAUUAAAACUAUUAUAGUUUAUAACUAUUUCAGGCUUUCUCUUAGUCAUGCAAUGUUGUUGAACCUAAUAGGAUGACUAUGCCCUGAUGGAAAAAAAAGGCAAACAAAACAAACAGAUGAAUUUUUCAGGUACAACUAUUAAUGUAUGUGAAUAUCAAAGUAAAAUACUAGAUACAGAACCAGGUUAACAGAGCCGCAUAUGAACAAAAUAGAGCUAGUUUAAAACAAAGAGCUUGGAUGUGGUGGAGAAAAACUUUGGAUGUGGCAGAGAGGAGCUCAGAUCGCAUUACAUUUAUGUAGAAAUUUUGGGGGAGGGCUGCAAGAGGUUUAAGACACACAGUCACGAUGAAAAGAAGUGUUUUUCUUGGUUCUUUCAGUCUAAGGUAUAACAUAGCACUUGGAACAACAAAAGGACUUUCUUAUCUAUAUGAAGAUUGUGACUCAAACAUUAUUCAUUAUGACAUCAAACCAGAAAACAUGCUCCUAGAUGGUAAUUUCAUGGUCAAGGUUUCUAAUUUUGGUUUGGCUAAGCUCAUGAGACGUGAACAAAGCCAUGUUUUCAGAACACUUAGAGGCACUAGAGGGUAUCUUGCACCUGAGUGGAUCACAAAUUGUGCCAUAUAAGAGAAAAGUGAUGUUUAUAGCUAUGGUAUGGUGUUGCUAGAGAUCAUUGGGGGGAGGAAAAACUAUGAUCCCAGUGAAACUUCAGAGAAAUCCUAUUUCCCAUCUUUUGCUUUUAAGAUGGUGGAUGAAGGGAAUGUGACAGAGAUUCUUGACUCAAAGGUGGAAACUUAUGAAAAUGAUCAAAGGGUUCACAUUGUUGUGAAUGUUGCAUUGUGGUCCUAAUCAUAAAUAUUGCUUUAAUUAUAAAUAUUGCUUUAAGUAAAGACAUGGUCCUAAUAUCUUAGAUAGACUAUGACAUCCUAAGCCUAGGAGUACCACCAAAGACAAACUUUAAGGCAAUCCUUACUUCUCAUAUAGUUUUUAUUUCAUUUUUAGUGAAUUCAAUUUAUACUAACAGCUAACAAGGUUUCAGGCUAAAUCCAAAACAAAAUGGGAUAAAAUGGUUUUCAGAUUUCACCUCAAUAAACACAGCUGAUGCUUCACGUGGUUGCAACUUUUGAACCACCUCUACAACUACUUCCUGCAAGAAACAACACAGAUUAUCAACAAUGAUAGAGCCUAUGGCACUUGCUUGAUUACAGGCUCCUAAAUAUGCCAGUGCUUAGCAGGGUUCAAUCCCAAGUCACCACAAGCAUGGAACUCAUCUGACUAGACUCAAGGAUACGCACAGAAUCAGCCAUUAAAUUGCACUAACAAGCUCAAUGAUGGAUUUAUGAAAGUGGAAGCUGUGAAAGUGCUAGAUACUACACAUACUUGGUUAUAUGAGACAAUAGGUCUUGGAGAGUGCAUAAUGAAAUGCUUGAAUAAUUGUUCUUGUAUGGCAUAUACUAAUUCAUACAUUAGAGGUCAAGGUAGUGGUUGUGUCAUGUGGUUUGGUGAUCUAAUUGAUAUUAAGUAGUUUGAAAAUGAUGGGCAGGAUCUGUAUAUUCGAAUGGAUUCUUCAGAAUUAGGUAUACAUAAAGACCUCAUGUAUCUCAAUCAACUUCUUCAAAAUUUCAUUAUACAAGUACAUACAUACACAGAUAUUGUGUGCAUUUUUAUUUGAUUUCUUUUUUUUUUUUUUUAUCGAAUUCAACUAUGAAGGGGAAUAAGAAGAGCACAAGAAGGCGGUGAUCAUAAUAGUUUCUACCACCAUUGCUACAAUUUUAGUAAUUCAACUUUGUUAGUACUGUUGUUAUCUAUUUGAAAUUCCAAACCUGUUUUAGUUGUAUAAAAAUAAGCUUAGUUAACCUUGAACAAUUGAACUACGAACUUUUCCUUUUAACAUAGUAAUACUAGCUAUAUUAAACCACAAAAAUCACAAGUGACACUCUUAACUAAUAAAGAGUAUGUUCAACAUAGUAUACUAGAGUGGGUGUUGCUACUAUUUUUUUAAUGGUAAUAGAAUAGCAUGUUCAGCCCAAGUAAUUAACUUACAGCCGUUUCAUAAUAUUAUAAUAUUAUAUAUUAAGUUUCCUUUUUUUCUUUAAUAAAUCUAAGCAAUCUAUCUAUAAUUUGUAUAUCAGUAUAUGUUAAACUAUAUAUGGCUUAAUCCUUUUAACUAACACCUUUAAACAAAUUUUCAUAAAACAAACAUUUAAGCAGAAAUUUCAAAUCGAGUAUAUGGUAAAAAAAAUAGCAAUUUCAGAGAGAUUCUUGAGUAAGGAAGGUUGAACAAAUGUGAAAAUUACCAUUGAAAACUCACUGCUUGAAGUUAGAUUAUCGAAACUUCUCAACUCUCUGUCAGCUUCAAGCUUCUAGGACUUUAACAGCUGGCUGCUAGUUGUAUUUGACCAUAGUGUGUUAUAAUUUGGGCUUUAGUACGUGUAUUUAAAGCCUUUUAUCAGCUAUGAGAAGCAGGAAGAAGUAUUAUUAAUAUACUUCUUCAACAGCAAUAAUAUAUGUAUAAUGAUACAUUUAAAGUGUUUGUUGAAUCUCCAGAAUAAACAGUUGUGAAAAAGUUAUUGCUACUAUUAUGCAUAUAAUUGCAUGCCUUUACCUUUUUCCUUUAGACUUUUGGUAAAAAAAAAUUGGUAAGCUUGAAUUGUACCUUCCAGACCUGUCCCUAAUACUAAGCAUGGUCACUAUACCCGUUAAUGCUAGUCACAUUGGGAAACCAUACUUUGAUUUUGAUUUGGUAGUUUUUCCUAGACUCUGAUAUUGGAAGGGAUUUGGUAAAGAUUAGUUUAGUUGUCCCUAAGAUGUAUAAAUAUAGACAAAAUUUUCCCAACCAGUAUCUCAAAUAUUGAACAUCUCAAAUUAGUGAAAAUAGUACGUAUACUUACAUUCGUCCAUCAUAUAGAAAGUUGCAUAUGUUUUACCAUAAUAUUCGCCAAAUAGUCUAGAAAUCUCUAAAAAAUAUGAGACCAAUUCUAUUUGAAAUAUAAGGCAAAAAUCUACAGCACUACUUAAGGAUUUAAUCUGAUUCAAACAGGGGAGACCCCACAGAGACUUUUAAACACAGGGAAAAAUUUGUCCAAGAAUUCAGUCAAGGAUAGUUGUUCCAUUUCAAUCACUUCACUCAGCAUAACUAUGCCAAUGGCAUAGGCCUUGUGAUGGUUUAAAAGUAGACACUUUAAGGUCUCACUAAUGCAGGGGAACAUGCCUUAAGUUUAUAAGACAAGGGUUACUCAUACACAAUUUAUACAAAAAGCAACUUGAACAUGCCUUAUAGGAAAGUUUGCUAUAAAUUCUAGGAUCAUUUAAAUUAAGUGAGAUCAAAAGGAUUUGAAACAUAGGACAUAGAUCUUCAAAAUAUUAAGGAUACUUAGAAUGAAUCCAUCAGGCUUGAUUGGACAUCAAUUAUGAAGACGAAUUUGGGAUUUGGCUAAUUUUCAGCAUGUACACUUAACAUAUUAUUCUCUAACGUUCUAAUUUCAUGGCCAUAAUAAAUUAGCUUAUACACACUUUGUUGACAUACUAGUAAAGAUUGAGAAUAAGGAAACAAACAUAGUAAUCACCUCUUCAAAGGCUCAUCAAAUCAGAUUCAGUACUAAUAUCAAAACUACAACUAUAAUUAGGAUCUCAAACAUGGCUUAUAAGCAUCUUUUCAAAUUGUUGACAUAUCAGAAGCACAACGAACCAGAAGCAACAAGAAGAAAUAUGGAAGUAAGUUUUUCACUUAUAGUUAUGAAAUAUUUACCAUAUGUAAUCAUUCUUAAAUUGAUUUUCACUUAUAGAUGAAAUUAGUUUAUUAUUAAACUGUCAAGAAGUUAAAAAAAACUUCUAUAAAAUGGAUACUUACAAAGUUUAUUCGAUUAUACAGGACUAAAUAUGGAAGCAAAAAUAGAAAAAACAACAUGGGAGAAGGAAGAAGUAGAAGCACAAGUGGAAAUCUGGAAGUACGCAUUUGGAUUUGUGGAAUUAGCAUUGGUGAAAUGUGCCAUUGAGCUUGGCAUAGCUGAUGCCAUUGAAAGCCACGGAAGCUCUAUGACACAGUUUGAUCAUCAACUCUUAGGUGUGUAGCUAUGCCAUCUACCUAACAAAUGAUCAACUAGCCUAGCUACCAAUAUAUACCAUCAUAUCCAUAUAUAGCAAAAAAGAAGAAAAAAAGCCAUGGUUGGUACACAAACUAUAAACAAAAACUACUUAGCCUGGUAAGCCUAUCUAACAUAAUAAUUCAUUAAGCAAAAUAAUAUCCCAAGAGAAUAGAAUCAUGAACAAAAUUUUGAAGAACAAAGUACGGUAUUUUUUUAUAAAUGGGUAAAAAAAAGGGAAGCACGAAGUAUGGUAGUUUUUGCAUGUAAUUACAUUUACAUCUAAUGCCUUCUUCCAUCAUUCUCUACUAGAAUCACUACACUAUCACACUUAUAUCUCUUUUAACUAAACAAAAAGGCUGAAGGAAUCACUGAAUACUCAAUUAAAAGCCUUUAAUGUUCAAAACUUGAAGAGAAAAUGAUAAAAAAACAGCUAUGAAAACAGAUUCAGUAAAUCACUACAAGUUACUAACAAUAACAGCUAUCUCUGGGAGUUACAAUCUUACAUUCUUUGAAUUGUUACAACUAUCAAAACUUGAAGAGAAAAUGAUAAAAAAAAUUAUAGAAACAAAAGUGGCAAACGGAACAACGAACUCGCGAAUCCAAUGGACAACUUUUAUGUUCACAGCAUUUCCCUCCCUACGUACUCACCAAUCCAGCAACAAAACGAACUCACGAACCCGAUUUUAACAUUCUAAAGGAAGAAAGGUUUGAGCAAGAUGAAGAUUUGAGCAGCCACGUACCUAAAUCGGGAAGUGACAAACAAGAACUCGUGGAGUAGCGUAGUUGCAGGUUUGUGGUUUGCGGCAAAAAAGGAGACGACGAACAAAGCGAGAAAAGGUUUUGGGGUUUUACCUGCAAUGGCAGUGACGACAAUGGCGACGACGACCUGAGGGUGGCUUUACGAGACUCAGCAAGGAGGGUUUGCGAGAGACUGAGCGUGAAAUGAAAGGCUUUUUAGUUUCUAAGUUUAAUUAAAACUACAACAUCGAUUUUAAAAAAAAAAACAAUGUUAACAUUGGUUUUUUAAAAAACUGAUGUUAACAUAGCCCUGCUAACAUCGGUUUUCAUAAAAUCGAUGUUAGCUACGUCAUGUUAACAUUGGUUCUUUAAAAACUGAUGUUAACGAGGCUAUGUUAACAUCAGUUCUUUAAAAACCGAUGUUAACGAUGCCAUGUUAACAUCGAUUUUGACAAAAUUGAUGUUAACAAACUGGGCUUAAUUACAAGUAUGUCACCGCGUUUUUGUUAACAUCGGUUUUGUCGAAAACUGAUGUUAACCUAGCGAUGUUAAAUGUAUAAUUUCUAGUAGUGCACUUGCACCCCCACGCUACUUUGAAAACUCUUUUUCCUCAGUCGGAAAAUCCCACAUGAUAGUCGUUGCAACACUGUCACACGACGCUAACGAAGUGGUUUGUGGCCUCACCCUCUAGGCACAACGCCAAUGAAGGUAAGUGAUGAUCAUUUUUUGGUUACAAAUGCUCUGGUCUGUUGUGGUGUUGGGUUCCAGUGUGGGUGUUUGGCUUCUGUGAAAUUGGUGCUUCGAAAUUGUGUUGGGUCUCUUUUUCGCUAGAAAUAUGUUUCGGAACACCUAUUUUGGAUAAGGAUAACAUUCUUGAACAAGCAGUCCAGAAUACAUGUUCUUAAGUUAGCCUCAUCUAGAAUACAUGUUCUUGAGUUAGCCUCAUCCAGAAUACAUGUUCUAAAACACAUUUUGGGAUUUUCAAGUCUAUUAUGGAAUGCCCAUUUUGUAAUACACUUGUAAAUCCAAAAAUAUGCUCUGAAACACCUGUUAUGUAAUCCAACACUUGAUUUUUUUUGCUUCUAGAAUAGAUAUUCCAAAACACAUUCCAAAUUUACAACUAUAUUACAAAAUAAGUAUUUUGUAAUACAACACUUUUGAUUUUUGUCAAUAUCCUUUUUGUAUUUCCUAUAUUUGUCAUCCUUCUCCCAACCCAACACAACAUAUGUCUUCCUUCUAGGUUGUAUGUUUAUUGUGUCUAACCUCAAAAUGACAAUAGCAAAACCCAACCCAAAUGCAAUUGCCCGAACCCAUUUCAAUAACCCAUCUUGAGUAUCAAAAACCUACUUAAACAAUAUAAGAUAUAAGGUUCUCAAAGUUCACCUUUCCAUGUAUUAGAUAAAUGAACAAUUACAUAAAUUAUAUAAUUAAUUACAUUCGUACUACAAUCAUGAUAUUUUAUGUCUUCCCUGAAUGGCAUCCUUGUAUCUUCAUCCAUGUCCUCAAGCAUAUUGACUUCAUCAGACAUUUUGUUGAAGUAACCAUCCUCAAUACAAACUACAAAUUUAAACUAACAACAUUGAAAACAAAUGAAUUUCAAUUACAUUAUUUAAUUCCUAUUCUAAAAAUUUGAUAUCACAAUAUAAAAGAAACUUUUGAAUUUAUAUUAUAAUGACAUCAUAUUUGCUUUGCACUAAUAUCUUGGUCUUAUUUUUACAAGUUAAAAAACAACAAAAAAAAAACAACAGACAUCAUCAAUAAAUUAAACAAUGUUUUGGGAAAAAAAUGCGUCCCAGAACAACAAUUCCAGAACACGAUUUUUUGAUUGCGUCCUCCAUAACAUACUAUAACAUGUUCCAGAAUGCUUAUUUCGGAGCACAAAUUAAUAUCCCAAUUAUUAUACGGAAAAAAAAUCUAGAAUCUUAUAAACUUUGUUUCAAAGAACACAUUAUGAAUGGUAAUAAGACUCUGGAAUAGGCUUUUUGGAAAACAAGUAAAUACUUUCCGGAAUAGCCAUUCCGGAGAUUCCUUUUUGUCUCCUGGUAUGCUAAUCUAGUAGGUGUUUAGCAUUUUUGGGACAGCUAUUCCGAAAAGUAUUUACAUGUUUUCUAGAAAGCCUAUUCUGAAGUCUGAUUACCAUUCCAAAACAUAUGUUUUGUUAUUGGAUAAUAAACUUUUGGAAUACCUAUUCUAGAUACAUUUGGCUUAAUUGUACUCCCAAAAAGCAUAGUCCAGAAAACAAAACAAAAAAUAAAAAAAUAGAAACAACAAACCAUAGCGUCUUCGUCAACCAAACUUCACCUAUCUUCAUCAGAACUAUGCAGAGAUGAAUGAAAACACAUUCAAUGUCUUCAUUUGUGGAAAUGGCUCCUACUUCGAUGACAUCAAAUGCGCGAAGAGGAUAUGGAGGGGACGAUGCUAGCUGUGGAGCAUAAGUUGCAGAGAGUAGGAAAUGAGGUGUGAGGAAGACCUUUAGGAGAGAUAAGGAGAAGAGAAAAGUUAUAAUAUGAAAAGGGUAGUUUAGGGAUAUUCAAAAAAUUGGGAAGUGCAGGAAGCACAGGGGAAGUACAGAAAGUAAAGGCCCUAUUAUUAUAGAUGAUAAGGAGACCAUUGAGUUUGUUGCAUGAUUAUGGGAAGCCACAUAAAGUUAGUUUCCAGAAAGACCAACAACAUGACAUAAUGGCUUCAUGAAUCAAGAGUUGUCUCACAUGAUAAAAGAGAAGGUUAGUAACUCCAGUGUAGAGCUGUUAAAAUAGGCCCAAACCUAUGGACCAACCCGGCCCACCACAAGUUCAGGUUGGGCCAAACAAACAAAGAUGUAAAACAAUUAAUUGGGUGAAAAACUGAACCCGAUCCACUUAUGAUCCGACCCACCCGGGUUAAACCCAUGGUGGGUUGGGUUGGCCAACCUAAUCCACCUAAAAAAAUAAUCUAAUAUUUUAUAAUAUAUUUUAAAACUUCAAAGUUUUAGACUUUUAGUAUUUUGUAAUAUUGUUUUAAGACUUCAGAGUUUGAAGUUCUAGACUUCAAUUUUGUUUAUUUAGUGUGUGAUAAUAUGCAAAUUUCUUGUGAUAAUGUGUCUUGUUGUAGGUGUGGUGUGUGGAUAGUGGAAGAUUUAAUUUAACUAAUAUUUUUCUAAUUUAUUCAAAAACAAAAUUCUAAAAAAAUUGGUUUAAAAAUGAUUUUUUUUUAAAAAAAAUUUAGAUGGAUUGGUGAGCCAACCCAUUUAAGCCACAACCCAUGGUGGGCCAGGCCAAACAAUUUUUUAAUUUUAAGACUAAACCUUAAGUGAGUUAGGUUGGGUUGACCCACUUAUAUAGGAUGAGUCGAGGUGGGUCAGACCCAACACGUCGGGCCAUUUUGACAGCUCUACUCCAGUGGAAUUAUUCUUUGUAUUCUACAACGCAAUGAAUCGAUUUAGAAAAUCUCUUGUAGAUCAAUUUUCAGCAACGUAUUUAAAAUGUGUAUCCCAAUAUAUAAAAAAUAUCACCAGCUCCAAUAUUAAAUCAUUUUUCUGAAAUUGACAGUAAAAUGUCUCUUUUAGGGGAGUUUGGUUGGGAGAAGUUUUUCAUGUAUGAGAAUCAUAAUACUUGGGAAUGAAAAAAUCUAUUUGGUUGUCCAUAAAUACUUUUGGGAAAGUUUCCAGGGAAUAAAAAAGUUGCACAACAUUUUCAUUAGUUACUUUAAUUAUCUUGGGAAGCUAAGAUUCUCACCCCACAAGAAAAAUUCGUGGGUAACCAACAAAAAACAUUAUUGGGAAACCCUCUUUCUCAAGAAUCUUAGAUAUUAAAAUAGAUAUCAAACAUGAAAACAAAGAUUCUCAAUCUAAUAUUCCCAAGAAAUUGAAAAUUUAUCCCUACCAAAUGCCCCUAACAGUUUAAUUCCUGAAAAAUUAUGUAAAUCAUAAUUUAUAGGAAUGACUAAAAUUUAUUUGAUUUAUUUUUAAUAUUCUUAGGAACAUUUUUUACUAUGUUUGACAAAAUUAACUAAAAAGUUAGCUGGUAGUUGAAAGCUGGAAGCUUUUAAACUAGCUUAUUUAGACUGAGUUUGGCAAAAACUAGCGAAAAAGCUCAGAAAGCUAGAAAGUUAGCUGGAAGCUUUAAGCUAACUUACUAAAUCAUAAGUGUUAGAUCAAGAUGGAAUUUAGAAAGGGAGUGAAUAUAUUCUUUCAAAAUAUUUACCAAUUUGAUCUUAAUAUAGAUUAAAUUAACCCUUUUAAAUCAAUCAAAGUCUCUUCAAAAGAUUAUAAUAAAUCAGAAACUUCUAUGAUUAUAACAUGUGAAAAAAAAACAAUUUUUUAUGAUGACCCUUAAGAUCAAUUCCAAAACCAAGAUGAAUUCAAGACACAAAGUUUAGAGAAUAAGAGGAUCACGCAAGAAUUUAUGUUUGGACUUACAUCCAGUUGUUCUAAGUGCUCUUAGAACUUUCACUAUAUAGAGAAAAUAAGUACAAACACUAUACAAAUACAAUUCUCUAAUAGAAAUCAAAUCUUUCUCUUGAACCCUACAAGAAAAGACUAAGAAUUGAAACUUUAUCCAUUCUUUAACCCUCUUGGUAACUCUAACCAAGAAAUGCAAUCUAAAAAAAUGAAAGAUAAAGGAUUGAGUACACCUGAAAUAUGUAGAUCUCCAAUGUUCAAUUUCUCUUCACAAGAUGAUAAAUUCAUGAUGGUAUAAUGAAUGAUUCUUUGAUCAACGUCAAUCUUCAUACUAAAUGCAGUACAAUUAUUUUAGAAGACUCUCUUGAAAUAUUUUUUUCUAAGACUAAUGUAUCAAGAGUCUCUCAUAAAGAAAACACAUACGAGUAUUUAUAAAUUUUGAUAGUUAAAACAAAUCUAAUCAAUUAUAAAAAAAAGGUAAUCGAUUAAUUCUUCAAAAUCCCCUUUGAUAUGCAUUUCUAGAAAUGGGUUAAUCGAUUGAUUCAUUUUAGUCUGAGUUUCUCUGUUUAUUUUUUGUUUUCUGGGUAAUCGAUUAUCAUGUGUGGUAAUCAAUUAAAGAAUCACACAGAGAACUUUUCUUUGUUUCCAGGUGCUGGAUAAUUUAUUAUCAAAUGAGAUAAUCGAUUAUCUUAAGUUACAGAUAAUUCCUUUUUUGAAACUGGCUUGGGCAUUCGAUUACCAGGUUAGGCAAUCGAUUAAUUCCAUGCUUCUAGCCAAAUUUCAAGUAGAAGUAAGUUCUUAAGAAACUUAGAGAAUAAGAAUAAUUCAUUCACUUCAUAUUUGAUCAGCACUAAGCAUGAAAAAGAGUUAGAGUAUAUCACACACAUGCCUAGUCUAAAACAUUCAAUACAAAUGUCUCAUCUAUUAAACAUGGUAGGCAUUGCAAAAUUAUCAAACCAAAACUAAGACUAAGGGCUUCAAGCUUUGAUCUAACAAUAAGUGUUUAGUGACUAUGUUUGACAAAAUAUUUCAGCUAACUUCUAGCUUUUUUAACUAGCUGAAAAACUCAUUUGGUUGUUCGGCAAACAAGCUUUUUUUUAUUAGCUUUUCAGUAGCUUCUAGUGUCUUUUACAACACAAGCUUCUAGCAUUUUAUAUUUUCUUCUCUUUAUAUUCUUAAUAUAUUUAUCAAAUUUUUUGCUUACCCCUUUUAAACAAAUCAUGAUUUUAUUGUUUUUGAAUCAUUUUACACUUGUGUUAAAGUAGUCAAAAAAUGUAAAAUGUCAUAAAUGACAUAUUUUAAAAAUGUAAUAAGGAAAUUGAAAAAAUAUUUUAAGGAUAAAAAUGGAAUAAAAUAUAUAAAGCUUGAAGCUAGCAUUUUUAAGAAAUGUUAUUUCAAAUAGCAUUUUAAAAAAUGUUAGAAGCUACUAAAAAAACAUACAAGUUACGUAAAAAGACUUGUUUAUCAAACAGUCAAGCUUUUCAACUAGUAAAAAAAGUUAAAAGCUAGCUAAAAUGACUUGUCGAACAUAGCCUAAAUCUUAGUGUUCAGUAAAACUAAUUAUUGAAGUAGUUGAAAAAUGUAAAAUGACAUAAAUGACGUAUUUAAAAAACACAAUAAGGAAAUUGAAUAAAUAUUUAAAGGAUAAAAAGAAAAUAGAAUAUAAAAGUUAGAAACUAACGUUUUAAAAAAUGUUACUUCUAGUAGCGUUUCAAAAAAUGCUAGAAGCUACUUAAGAAAGUUUAUUUACCAAACACUCAAACAAGUUUUUAGCUAGUAAAAAAAUUAGAAGUUAGUUGAAAUGAUUUGUCGAACAUUACUUAUAUAUGUCUAUUGGAAAUAAAAUAUUUCCGCAUUUAGUUUGAUAGAACUUUCCCAAAAACUUUUUCCAUAAACUAUAAUUAAUUUUAAUUAUUUACUACCACUACUAAAGAAAUUAGUUUUAACAUCGUUACAUUAACGCCGAUUUUAGAUAAAAUCGAUGUUAACAAAAAUGUGGUAGCAUAUUCGUAAAUAACACGACUUCGUUAACAUCAAUUUUUUAAAAAAUUGACGUUAACAAAAUAAUGUGGUAACAUAUUCGUAAAUAACACGACUUCAUUAACAUCAAUUUUUUAAAAAAUUGACGUUAACAAAAUAAUGUUAACAGUAGUUUGUCAAAAAAUCAAUGUUAAUAUUAGUUCGUUACGGUUUUUAAAAAACUAAUGUCACUAGAGACUAAUGUUAAUAUUGGUUUUUUAUAAAACCAAUGUCCACACUUAUAUAUAUAAGUCUGAAGCACCUGCCUCAUUUGAUUCAAAACUAUCCAAAUUCCCUCGCUUUCUAAGUUCUAGUGAAACCCUAAUGCCGCUGUGGAUUGGAAAGGUUUGGGUUUGUGACAUUGCUGAGAUUGGAAGUGUUUUCAUGCAUAGUGGGGAGAAGUCAUCCUUUUCAUUCCCUACUCAUUGGUGCUGAGAUUAAGAACUGCUCUGGUCAGGUAUAUAUAUUUAUUUUGAUCAUUUGUACAAAUUGGACUGAGUAGUGUCUUUUAAUUUUUAUUUUGGUUAUGUGUGAACAUUAGUUAUUGUAUAUUUUGGCAAAGAAAUUAAUCUUUAAUUUUUGAAUUUUCUCUACCAAGGUUAUGUAUAUUUGAAUUUAACAGAAUUUAUCUGUUUAGAAACAUGAAUUUAGGGUCCUUCUGCAAGUAUCUGCAUCUCAUUUUUGUAGGCUAUCCCUUGAUGCUCAAUUUUAAAUCUUACAAAUAGGAAUGAUAUAUUGAAUAUGCUCUCAUUUAUGCUUUUAGAAAUAAAUUUAUGAAAUAUUAAGGCAAAGGUUAUUAUUCUGUUUCAAUAUAAAUGAGGUAUUCCAAUGCAGCUGAACAAAAUUGGAAGGGGGUACGUGGAAGCAUGACAGCAUGGUUGCUGUAGAAUAUUGCUAAUUUAUUUGUAUAUAAUGACAAGCAGUGUUCGUGGCUUAUAUUCUGGGAUAACAAAGAGUAGGGGAUGUAUAAUGGCAAGUGUUCGUUGCUGUAGAAUAUAGAAUUAUGAGUUCACGUGUAGCUUUAGUUGUUUAUCUUUGAUAAUUUGAUACUUAAUAGGUUUUGUACUUGUUUUUAAUUAGAUCUGUAAUGUUCAUAUUGGUGGACCAUGACUAUUGUGCUUUACAUUACAUGAUUAUACCUUUGUGCUUCAUCAUGGUGAGCAUCACUUGGAAGUAUAUUAUUUUAAUAUACAAUUUAUAAUAUAAUUAGGUUCCAUUAUAUACGAUGAAAACCAAAAAUCAUCUCUACGAGACACACUCUUAUAAUGUUUUUUCCAAGAAAAUAAUCAAAAUCAAAAGCAGAAUUAUAAUUUCUCCCAAUUUUUAAUUAAAAUCAUCCAAUAAAAAAACUAUUACGAAUUUUUAGUUAAUAAAUAUUUGAUGGGAUAAUAAAAAAUAAAUAUUUGUAUUUUCAAAGUUAAUAAAUAUUAUAUUUUAUUAAAUUUUAGUUAUUACAUAAUUCAUUUUUUCAUAUUUGAUGGGAUAAUAAAGAAUUAAAAUAUUAUUUUACAUACAAAUAUUUGUUUACAACAACCUAUUACAAAAAUUUAGUCCCUUUCUUUUUUAUUUCUUUUUUUCCCUUUUGUGUGAGUAUAUAUAUGUGUGUGAGACUAGGAAUUAAUUAAUUAAUCUUUGUAAAUUUUAUGUGAUUUGACUAGAUAAGAUAUAUACUUAUACGGAUAAUAUGGUCAUUUAGUUUUAUUUGUUAUACAAUAAGUUUGACAAUUAUUUGAAAGAAAUUAUUAACGGGUCAGUUAUAUUUUGUGAGAAAUUUAUUUUAUCAUAAAAAAUUUGACAUUAACUAUUUGAUGUUGUUUGUUUACAUAUUUUACAUUUUUUGCUUUAUUGCUUAUUUUAUGACAUUUAUUUUUCUAAAAAAAUAAUAUUAUGUAUUGAAUGUUAACAUCGAUUUUCAAAAAAUUAAUAUUAACUUUGAGUUCGUUAAUGCUAAUGGUUUCAACAUCGUUAAAAAUUGAUGUCAAAAGUAUAAAAAAAAUGAUAUUAAAAGUCUAUUUCUCAGUAAUGUAUAUUAAAAGAUUUAAUAAGAAUAAUGUAAUAUUUUUACUGAAAUAGUUUUUUUUUCUCAACUCGAAAAGGUCAGAUUUUUAAAAAUAACCCAAAUAUGAAAAAUAAAAAUUUGUUUGAAUCAAAUAUCUCCUUUCAGGUUCGAAAAAUUAAUGAUGCUGGAGGACAACUCUUUCAAUCCUAGAGUUCCCUCCAAUGACAUCAACAAUCCUCUUCCACCGCUAUCCAAAAUACAAACUCCUGUCAUGCAAAACUCAAGAACUUAGCCCCAUAUGAUCAGGUUUAAAUAAAAAAUAAAAAUAAAAAAGAAAUAGAAAGAAGAAAGUGCUAGCAGAGGAAAUAAAGCUAAAAUGAUUAAGAGGAAGAUGCCACGCAUCUCAGAUCAGUAUACAGUAAAUCGCUACUUGAGUUUAAAAGUGUAUAUAAAUGUAUUGGUAAUAUUAGUUUAGGUAUUAAAUGAAGUAAUUAAAACAAAGAAUGAUAUGAGUUCAGCCCAUAAAUCAUGUUGGUUAACGUGUGGAAGUUAAAAUUGAAUUAUUUAGAUAUUAUUUAAAUUUAAUUAUUAGUAGAAAUAAUUUUUAAUUAAAUUUUAUUUAUUUUCCGGACAAACUCUGGAUUAAUCAGAAUAGGGUCUCUUUUUUCUGAUGAAUGGAAGGGUUAAAGAAAAAAAAAAUAACUUUCGUUUACGGGCGGUCAUGCUUGUGAUUUUGGAAUUGUUUCAAACAAAAUGGGUGCGUGGAGUUUUCCAAAAUUGGUUGAAAAGAAUUAAAUUUGAUCAAGUACUAUGAGUAUUCAAGGCCAAAUCAUGGAAAUUGCAAAUGCAAUUCAACAGGAAAGCCUUGUUUGUGUUAAUUUCUAAUCUAACAUAAUGUUUCUAAUUUCAAUUUAGCCAACUCAAUUUUUGAGCCAAAUAUCAUAUAUGUUUUCAGUUAGAGUAGUUUGCAGAUCCGCAUACGGGCCUUAAUUAGUUUAUACUAUUAUUUAGUAGCAUUCCUUCAUUAGGAUUAAUGGUUUAUUUCUUGAAAGAAAGAAAAAAAAAAGGUACUAAACUAUUAACUAAUAAUUUACUUAUACUACCAUUAUGUCCAUAAACUUGAUCAGUAAGUGUAUAAUAAGUGAUUUGAGCCUAGCCAAACAUAGCAAAUCUCAUACAACUAAAGUAUAUAUGCAGAAAGCAUUUCUUGGCUCUAAUAUGGUAUAUAUCUAAAUCAAUUCUCCAGUGUUAAGACUCUUUUUCUUUGUUAGUUAGCAAUUAAUCAUGAGUCAAAACCAGAAACUAGCUACUACACUCCCAUGCCAUAAUGCGUAAAACAAUUCAAUUAUUUGGUAUGGCAAUUGAAAUUAUUUGUAUUAACACCUUUCCAAAGGAGACAAAGACGUCGGUGCAUUGAGAAAUGUGAAAAAAAAAUAUUAUCACUUGUGUGGACUUGUCAAUGUUCCCGUUAAAUUUCCAACUUUGCAACUACAAGAAGACAGCAUUCACCUACACAGCAAUUGAAAAUCCACACCGAAGAUUGACCUUUGUACAACGGUGCUAGAAACCGCGUCACUAGUAAUAACUAUUGGAUUGAGACAUGCACUUAACAGUAAGGCCCCCAACUAAUAUAAAAACCAGUUAUUGGGUGUGUUACUCAUCAGCAACUACAACGUGAGAAACAUGGCUUCCUUAAGCUCCUUAGUGCUGCUCCUUGCAGCUCUAAUUCUAUCCCCUCAAGUUCUUGCAAACUAUGAGAAUCCCCCAGUGUACAAGCCUCCCACUGAGAAACCACCAGUUUAUAAGCCCCCAGUUGAGAAGCCUCCUGUUUACAAACCUCCAGUUGAAAACCCCCCAAUUUAUAAGCCUCCAGUAGAGAAGCCACCAGUGUACAAGCCCCCAGUUGAGAAACCCCCAGUGUACAAGCCCCCAGUUGAAAAACCACCAGUGUACAAGCCCCCAGUUGAGAAACCACCAGUGUACAAGCCCCCAGUUGAAAAACCCCCAGUUUACAAGCCCCCAGUUGAAAAACCACCAGUGUACAAGCCCCCAGUUGAGAAGCCCCCAGUUUACAAGCCCCCAGUUGAGAAGCCACCAGUUUACAAGCCCCCAGUUGAGAAGCCACCAGUAUACAAGCCACCAGUUGAGAAGCCUCCAGUGUACAAGCCACCAGUAGAGAAGCCUCCAGUUUACAAGCCACCAGUAGAGAAACCUCCAGUUUACAAGCCCCCAGUGGAGAAACCUCCUAUUUACAAGCCACCUGUUGAGAAGCCUCCGGUCUACAAGCCACCAUAUGGAAAGCCACCAUACCCAAAGUACCCUCCAACUGAUGACACCCAUUUCUGAAGGAUGUCAAGAGGUGUAUUGAGUAUAUGCUAAAUAAGAGGUGCUCAAAAUGUAGUUAUAGAUUACAAAUUAU
rnacentral:lncRNA from 1 species